rnacentral:rRNA from 1 species
UAUUGCACAAUGGUCGCAAGCCUGAUGCAGCCAUGCCGCGUGUAUGAAGAAGGCCUUCGGGUUGUAAAUUACUUUCAGCGGGGAGGAAGGGAGUAAAGUUAAUACCUUUGCUCAUUGACGUUACCCUCAGAAGAAGCACCGGCUAACUCCGUGCUAGCAGCCGCGGUAAUACGGAAGGUGCAAGCGUUAAUCGGAAGUACUGGGCGUAAAGCGAACGCAGGCGGUUUGUUAAGUCAGAUGUGAAAUCCCCGGGCUCAACCUGGGAACUGCAUCUGAUACAGGCAAGCUUGAGUCUCGUAGAGGGGGGUAGAAUUCCAGGUGUAGCGGUGAAAUGCGUAGAGAUCUGGAGGAAUACCGGUGGCGAAGGCGGCCCCCUGGACGAAGACUGACGCUCAGGUGCGAAAGCGUGGGGAGCAAA